rnacentral:lncRNA from 1 species
CAUCCGUUCUUCAUCUGUGAGGCUGCGAAAUUCUUCACCUUCUAUGACUUCUCCUUCAUCUACUUCCUGAUUAGGAUGAAGAAUCCCACAUUCUGUUGCUAUGGCUUUUGCAGUGAAAACAUUGUCUCCAGUGAUCAUCUUGAUGUUCACACCAGCACUUUGGCAAGCUUCCACUGCUUUCUUCACACCUGGUCGACAUGGAUCUUUUAGGCCAACAAAGCCCAAAAGAAUGAAAGAGUUGUCUGGAACAUUUCCAUGCAUAUGUUCAUUAUCCUUCUGCUCAGCUUUUGGCACUUGCUUGUGUGCGAAUGCGAUACAUCUCAGGCUGCUGGCAGCCAUUCCUUCAAUUAUCCUGUCACAUUCUUCCUUAUCUGAUUCCUCUAGAGGUUUUACGUUCCCUUCUAGAUCAUAGUAAUGGGAGCACAUUCUUGAAAUCAUUUCAGCAGCACCUUUCCAAUGUGCAUGAAUUGUGCCAUCACUGUUGUUCUUGAUCAGGACACCACUCUUCUUUUUCUCUGAAUUGAAAGCUUCCACAUGUAGAAUGUUGAAAUUUCUUUUGAUUUGAUCCAUCUCCAUAUUCAAUUCCGUAACAGCCCAUGAAAGAAUAGCUUUUUCAGUAGGGCUGCCUGAGAACUCAAAGUUGGAAGAUGGAUCGGAGGACUUGAAAACACUACCUGUAGUGUUUAAUCCAACCCCUUGAUGGAAUAGUUCAAGAACUUUUGCCGAAAUUGAUGUAUGAAUUUCUGCCAUGGCUUUUGCAGUGAAAACAUUGUCUCCAGUGAUCAUCUUGAUCUUCACACCAGCAUUCUGGCAAUCUUCCACAGCUUUCUUCAUGCCAGGUCGACAUGGAUCUUUUAGGCCAAGAAAGCCCAAAAGAAUUAUAGAGUUGUCUGGAACAUUUCCAUGCAUAUGUUCAUGAUCCUCCUGCUCAGCUUUUGGCACUUGCUUGUGUGCGAAUGCAAUACAUCGGAGGCUGCUGGCAGCCAUUCCUUCAAUUAUCCUAUCACAUUCUUCCUUAUCUGAUUCCUCGAGAGGUUUUACGUUCCCUUCUAGAUCAUAGUAAUGGGAGCACAUUCUUGAAAUCAUUUCAGCAGCACCUUUCCAAUGUGCAUGAAUUGUGCCAUCACUG